rnacentral:rRNA from 1 species
GUCAAGUCAUCAUGGCCCUUACGGCCUGGGCUACACACGUGCUACAAUGGUCGGUACAAAGGGUUGCCAAGCCGCGAGGUGGAGCUAAUCCCAUAAAACCGAUCGUAGUCCGGAUCGCAGUCUGCAACUCGACUGCGUGAAGUCGGAAUCGCUAGUAAUCGUGAAUCAGAAUGUCACGGUGAAUACGUUCCCGGGUCUU